rnacentral:rRNA from 1 species
CUCGUAGGUGGUUUGUCGCGUUGUUCGUGAAAACUCACAGCUUAACUGUGGGCGUGCGGGCGAUACGGGCAGACUAGAGUACUGCAGGGGAGACUGGAAUUCCUGGUGUAGCGGUGGAAUGCGCAGAUAUCAGGAGGAACACCGGUGGCGAAGGGCGGGUCUCUGGGCAGUAACUGACGCUGAGGAGCGAAAGCGUGGGUAGCGAACA